GGAGACCGGCAGGAGCCAUCGUGCAACCUUGAUCGCGUAUCGCCAUUCAGAGAACGGUCUACUAGAAUUCGCCGUUCGAUUCCGGAUCGCCAUGCGGCACGUUUUCUUCGGCCUUGAACAUCAGACGUCCGUCAGACCCGGUGGAAACCAAGUGGUCGAGUACUCGGGGUAUCGAACAAAGUCGAGAAAGGGAACGAUAUUGUACCCAAGUCACGUUCUACCUUCGUGUCUGGCUGCUUUCCACGUAUACCGUUUCGCGCACGUCGCCUCGUCCAAGAGGAAGAAAAAGAAAGCACGAGCUGUUCGCCGACGAAGAAGACACGGUAGCAUCUUCGUAUCGGUGAAGAAGAUUCGUUCAUUUCAAAACGCUGAUCGGAAAGUAAUUUUAUUAGAUUUUACAAUUUUUUGUAAUUUGUUUUUGGAAUCUUCGAUGAGAGAAUAUGGUUGCACGCUUGGCAGCGAUAGUGGCAUCGCGUAGUCUGAAACAUUUGAAAUUUGCUUUUAUCGAGCAGAAGGCCUACGUUAUGUUCCUAUUUUUAUCGAGUGAAACGGUAUAUUUAUAAUUCCAUGAGUUUCGCGUCAGGCGGCAAACUGAUUACGUAUUUACGCCGCUAUCAAUUUCGCGUUAGUUUCGCAACAUCAUGGCUCAUCUUCCGUUGUUUUGUCACGCUACAAGCGGAACAUCGUACCGCUGCGUAUGUUAAGUCAGCCUUACGCUCUAAAUCGUUGAAACGAGUCGCCAACGUCUCUUUGUCGAUUUUAAGAAGCAUCUCCUCCUCGAAAAUGUACAUUUUUUUAAAUUGCACCACUAUACAUGCCAAACAGCGAUCUGUCUUACGCUUAAACUUCGCAUACAGAUGCGACGCUCGUUCCAUCGUUGUCGAAACUAAGUUUUGCAGACGACAGAAACACUUCUUCUUCUUCGUACUGCUAAGCCUUACUAGCCAACGCGACGCUGUAUAGCGACGAUAAUCGAUCAUCCGGAGACCUUGUAAACCAACUCACCAAGCGGAUAUCCCAAAUAAACGACAAGACUAAAACAAACAGACCUUAGCAAACACGCUCCACCCACCAACUCAAACACAAUUUGGCGAACGUCGAGCGUUUCCAAGAAGAAAAAAGCAACACGUAGAAAUAUUAAUUAAAUUCGUCGUGGAGCAUCGUCGAAAAGCACAACCGCUCGUCGAAAUUCUUCGCCAGAGUUGAUGGAAGAGAGUCGAGACAAAGAACGAGACGAAGAAGGAUACGAAGAAGAAGGCGUUUUCCACGUUGUGUCCUUUGUUCCCUGUUGCUCGCGCCAGCACAACACGGUGCAUCGACGUGCAAACUGCGCAGCGAGCUAAUCUCGGGGAAAAGAUAAGAGAAUCGCGGGGGCGUGAGGCGGACGGGUUAAAGGCAGGGAAGGAGAAUCGAGGGAGGCAGAGGAGACGGAAGAGGCGGAGCACGUGGCUCGAUGGCUAGGUCAAACGCGCACAAUGCCCGAAACCGAGAGGCGACAGCCGAGCCAGCGUGGAAAAUACAUUGGGUAAUUCCGAACUGACAAACGUGCCACUGCGACGCGCGUGCACACGUGCUAGAAUCAGCGUGUUCUCUUCUCUUCUCUUCUCUUCUCUUUUCUUCUCUUCUCUUCCCAUCUGUCUCGUUCUUUCGCGAACCCCAACGUUGUCACGUAGCUGUAAUAUUUUGUUCUAUCGAGCUUUGGUCGGGCACUCGCAGGAGAAGUUGAAAUAUUUGUCGGAGCGUUUGAUGUGCUUCAAAGCUCCGCUGCUGUACGUUAAGUAUUCGGGGCACUCGCUGAUUACUAUUGAAAAUAUAGAAAACGUAUUGUAGUCUAAAUGGAAGUAUUUAAUCUAAUCUAGCGUUUCACUUUAUCUUAGGAAACUACGUAUUGACGAAGUUGGCAUAGCGUUGGUCGAUAUAAACGAGAUUGAUAAUAAUUGCAAGUGAACGAAGAUUAGUCUACAGGGACGUGUGAUUUGACAGAUUUUUAAUAUGUUAACGUUAGGAUCUUACGGCGAUCGAAGUAUACGCUUCUAGCUACGUUCCAAAAGUUUACAUAGAUCUUAUUUGUUUGUUUUUUUUAUUUAAGUCUUUUCAGUCUCAAUUUGUCCAAUUUGGACAUUUGGUAGAAUUCCAUAGAUCUUAUGAAAUGCGAAUUAUUCGUUACAAAUAUACAUGAAAUUUUUCAGUGACGAAGAUAUACGUAUUCCCCGUUUCAGUUUACAUUUAACAGAGCAUUUGAUAUCAGUUAUGGCAAGAAGUGAAGGAUUAACAGUGCAGAAAAAUAUUCUUCUAUUCCAACGCUGAAAGAUUUAUACCAUUUUAUCGAAUUGUACGUGAUGCAUUUUGUAGUAAUAGAACGAAAUAGGUCAUACGUGAUUCGGUAAAAUAAAUAUAAAACGAAGAAUGUUA